AGCAACGAUGGCGUCGCAUAAUUCGAAGUGUUAUCGCCAGAAAAUAAACAAAUAACAACGGUCGAUAUGUUGUAGAUUGUGAUUUUUAAAAUAUUUUACUUUCUUAUAAAUUGAGCAAGCAGACCAUGUCUGAACACGAGAAUUCAUGUGUUCUCUGCAGUUUAAAUUUGUAUUAUUCUCAAAUCCGGUGAUGAGCUGUACAGGCAUGUGUCUGGAGUGGUAAGUGGAGUGAAAGUUGUCACCAAGGGUAACACGCAGGAUCUACCUUGCAGAAUUUCAUGGCAGCGGCAUUGGUGGCCAUAGUGGAUGUAAUAAGACGAAUGAUGCAAUGAAGAUUCGAUAUUGGUGGCCUAAGAUGGGCACUGAUGUUCGGGAUUAUGUGAGUAAAUGUAUCCAUUGCCAGAAAUCCGACCCCAUGAAGCCCCCCAAAAAGCCGGAGCUGAAAUCGAUUCAUGUGCAACAGCCUUUUGAGUUGGUUGGUUGCGACUUAAUGGGACCAUUCACGGAGACACCAGCUGGCAACAAAUACAUCUUUACAGAAACAGACUACUACACAAAAUGGGUUGAAGCCUUUCCAAUACCCAGCAAGACAGCUCAGGACGUUGCCAAAUGUAUCAAAAAGCUUGUAUACAGGCAUGGAGCCAUGAAGGCAAUUUUAACUGACCAGGGCAGGGAGUUUAUCAACCAGGUUAACAAUGACCUAUGCACCACAUGGGAAAUAAAGCAUAACAUGACAGCUGCCUACCAUCCGCAAACCAAUUGUUUAGACGAAAGAACAAAUCAGACCAUGAAGCGGAAAAUAUAUUAAUGUAUAUAGAAGAAACUGUCCUGACAACUAGAUGUGAAGAAUUUUAUUAUUGGGUUAAAGAUUAAAUAGAUUUAAAAGGGGGACAAAAAUGAACUGCUUUAUUAACAGCUUAUCACAUGUCAGGCAGUUUAUUGGUAGACCAAACCGUUUUCAAAAACCGAAUGAGAAAAAUCAUCUGAAGAAAAAUCUCCGAUUCAACGAUAAAGAGAGAACUUAAAUGACCAGGAAAGACAGGUUAAUCAUCUUUCACUGAUUGAUGGAUCAAAUACAAAGAAAACUUUGCAGAACGUAUUAGAAAGCUAGUGCCAUGAAAGGGAACACCGAGAAUGUGACAGAACACAAAAUCAAGGAGCACAUCAGCUACCAUCUAAAAUACGCCCCAAACUGAAAGGAGGUGGCAAAAGAUACAUUGACAAUUAUCUUUAAAAUGGAACAUUUAGGAUUCUUUUUGCGCUUGGGAUGAUAUUGCGAAUAAAUGUUUUGUGGUUAUAGGUGCAAUCAAGCCUCUAAAAAUAAGUUUGCUACUAUAUCUGUUGGUGAUUGUUUUGGUUUAAACAGUCUUAUUUAGCUCGGCGUUUUCGGAGAAAACCCGAGGUAUUUUCAUAACCAGCUCGCCGUCCGCCGUCCUCGUCGUGCUAUACCCUUUACAUUGGCUCUAAAAUCAAAGUGCUUCCACCUACAACUUUGAAACUUCAAAUGCAGAUGCACCGUGAUGAGUUCUACACGCUACACCCAUUUUUGGGUCACUAGGUCAAAAGUCAAGGUCACCAUGACCUCUAAUAUUAAACUUUAAAAUGGCUGUAAAAUCAAACAGCUUCCACCUACAACUUUGAACCUUCAUAUGUAGAUGUACCUUGAUGAGUUCUACACGCCACACCCAUUUUUGAGUCACUAGGUCAAAGGUCAAGGUCACUGUGACCUCUAUUAGAAAAUUUAAACAUUGGCUCUAAAAUCAAAGUGCUUCCAUCUACAACUUUUAAACUUCAUAUGUAGAUGCACCUUAAUGAGUUCUACACGCCACACCCAUUUUGGGGUCACUAGGUCAAAAGGUCAAGGUCAUUGUGACCUCUAAAAAUGAUCUGACAAGCACCCGUAGCCGAGCGUGGCACCCGUUAUGCGGUGCUCUUGUUUACAUGUAUAUUUUAACGUUUAAUAACAACGUGUAGGUGGCCAAGAUAUUGUAUUGUAGUGAUCCAUAACUUGUAAAUAACUAUGUGUUCUUACUAUUUUUAUAGCAAACGUGCUAGACACUUUUUAAAACAUAUAAUGAAAAUGUUACAACGAACAUUUACAUUUUAAUACACGUUUGAAAUCUCAAACUCCGUAAUAGUCUCUCAAGACUAUAGUCUCAAGUUUAAAAGAAUGAUAUUUUUUGCGUAUUAAUGCCACCAUUUGUGUACCUUUGCCACCCAUCUAUAGGACACCAUUGGAAAUAAGUUGCAAAACUUUCAUGGGACAUCCUGUGGUAUAUAUAUCAUGUCUUGAUUUCAACAUCUUGUAACUUCUUGUUAUUUCAGAUCGCUGCCAAAUAUACUGACUAGUUACUUGUAACUGAAUUUAACUGUUUAACUUUGACUGUGAUAUUUAAAAUGUGAUAUAUCAAUGCAUUGUGAUCCAAAACCUCUGAUAAUUGUUUUCCAAUUGUUAAAUGUUUUCAAUUGAAUGUAUUGUAUGAUCUGUACUUGUAUGACAUAUACAUGUAUAUAUAUAGCAUCAUGAACUGCUUGGUCGAUUUCCAUCAGACUAAGACUGUAUUGUAUUACUUAUUUAAAGGACUUUUGUGAGCAAUCCAGGCCCAUUGUGUUCUUACUUCUUCAUAACAUUGCUUUGAUAGAUAUGCCAUGUGAAUGUUAUUAAUUAAAUUGUAUUUCUAUGCCUCCCUUCGAAGAAGAGGGGGUAUAUUGUUUUGCACAUGUCGGUCGGUCCGUCCGUCCGUCUACCAGACGGUUUCCGGAUGAUAACUCAAGAACGCUUAGGCCUAGGAUCAUGAAACUUCAUAGGGACAUUGAUUAUGACAGGCAGAUGAACCCUAUUGAUUUUCAGGUCACUUGGUCAAAGGUCAAGGUCAUAGUAACUCAAAAUAGUAAAAUGGUUUCCUGAUGAUAACUCGAGAAUGCUUACGCCUAAGAUAAUGAAACUUCAUAGGUACAUUGAUCAUGACCUGCAGAUGACCCCUAUUAAUUUUCAGGUCACUAUGUCAAAGAUCAAGGUCACAGUGACUCAAAAAAGUAAAAUGGUUUCCGGAUGAUAACUCAAGAAUGCUUACGCCUAGGAUCAUGAAACUUCAAAGGUACAUCGAUCAUGACUGGCAAAUGACCCCUAUAGAUUUUCAGGUCACUAGGUCAAAGGUCAAGGUCACAGUGAAUCGGAACAGUAAAAUUGUUUCUGGAUGAUAACUCAAGAAUGCUUACGCCAAUGAUCAUGAAACUUCAUAGGUACAUUGAUCAUGACUGGCAGAUGACCCCUAUUGAAUUUCAGGUCACUAGAUCAAAGGCCAAGGUCACAGUGACUCGAAACAGUAAAAUGGUUCCCGGAUGAUAACUCAAGAAUGCCUACACCUAGCAUCAUGAAACUUUAUAGGUACAUUGAUCAUGACUGGCAGAUGACCGCUAUUGAUUUUCAGGUCAUAGGUCAAAGGUCAAAACAGUAAAAUGGUUUCUGGAUGAUAACUCAGGAAUGCUUACGCCUAGGAUCAUGAAACUUCAUAGGUACAUUGAUCAUGACUGGCAGAUGACCCCUAUAAAUGUUCAUGUCACUAGGUCAAAGGUCAAGGUCACAGUGAUAAAAAACGUAUUUUCACAAUAGUUGCCACUACAACUGACAGCCCAUAUGAGGGGCAUGCAUGUUUUACAAACAGCCCUUGUAUGAAUUGACAAUGUCUGUAGAGAUCUGUAAUGAAUAUACUUCUUGGAAGAAGUACAUAAAAUGUA